rnacentral:rRNA from 1 species
CCCCCCUCUAAUCAGUGAAACUGAUCUCCCCGUGAAGAAGCGGGGAUAUACAUAUAAGACGAGAAGACCCCAUGGAGNUUUAAACCUGACAGCACCCGCUCAUUCUAUACCCCAUUAUUUGCCCGACCCCUGUCUGCUCAGUUUUAGGUUGGGGNGACCACGGAGUAUAAAAUAACCUCCAUGAAGAAGGGGAUAUUUCCCUUAUUANAGAACCACACUUCCAAGAACUAAUAAAUUANUUUUCAAUGACCC